rnacentral:rRNA from 1 species
UGUGAGCUCGAUGAGUAGGGCGGGACACGUGGUAUCCUGUCUGAAUAUGGGGGGACCAUCCUCCAAGGCUAAAUACUCCUGACUGACCGAUAGUGAACCAGUACCGUGAGGGAAAGGCGAAAAGAACCCCGGCGAGGGGAGUGAAAAAGAACCUGAAACCGUGUACGUACAAGCAGUGGGAGCACGCUUAGGCGUGUGACUGCGUACCUUUUGUAUAAUGGGUCAGCGACUUAUAUUCUGUAGCAAGGUUAACCGAAUAGGGGAGCCGAAGGGAAACCGAGUCUUAACUGGGCGUUAAGUUGCAGGGUAUAGACCCGAAACCCGGUGAUCUAGCCAUGGGCAGGUUGAAGGUUGGGUAACACUAACUGGAGGACCGAACCGACUAAUGUUGAAAAAUUAGCGGAUGACUUGUGGCUGGGGGUGAAAGGCCAAUCAAACCGGGAGAUAGCUGGUUCUCCCCGAAAGCUAUUUAGGUAGCGCCUCGUGAAUUCAUCUCCGGGGGUAGAGCACUGUUUCGGCAAGGGGGUCAUCCCGACUUACCAACCCGAUGCAAACUGCGAAUACCGGAGAAUGUUAUCACGGGAGACACACGGCGGGUGCUAACGUCCGUCGUGAAGAGGGAAACAACCCAGACCGCCAGCUAAGGUCCCAAAGUCAUGGUUAAGUGGGAAACGAUGUGGGAAGGCCCAGACAGCCAGGAUGUUGGCUUAGAAGCAGCCAUCAUUUAAAGAAAGCGUAAUAGCUCACUGGUCGAGUCGGCCUGCGCGGAAGAUGUAACGGGGCUAAACCAUGCACCGAAGCUGCGGCAGCGACGCUUAUGCGUUGUUGGGUAGGGGAGCGUUCUGUAAGCCUGUGAAGGUGUACUGUGAGGUAUGCUGGAGGUAUCAGAAGUGCGAAUGCUGACAUAAGUAACGAUAAAGCGGGUGAAAAGCCCGCUCGCCGGAAGACCAAGGGUUCCUGUCCAACGUUAAUCGGGGCAGGGUGAGUCGACCCCUAAGGCGAGGCCGAAAGGCGUAGUCGAUGGGAAACAGGUUAAUAUUCCUGUACUUGGUGUUACUGCGAAGGGGGGACGGAGAAGGCUAUGUUGGCCGGGCGACGGUUGUCCCGGUUUAAGCGUGUAGGCUGGUUUUCCAGGCAAAUCCGGAAAAUCAAGGCUGAGGCGUGAUGACGAGGCACUACGGUGCUGAAGCAACAAAUGCCCUGCUUCCAGGAAAAGCCUCUAAGCAUCAGGUAACAUCAAAUCGUACCCCAAACCGACACAGGUGGUCAGGUAGAGAAUACCAAGGCGCUUGAGAGAACUCGGGUGAAGGAACUAGGCAAAAUGGUGCCGUAACUUCGGGAGAAGGCACGCUGAUAUGUAGGUGAAGUCCCUCGCGGAUGGAGCUGAAAUCAGUCGAAGAUACCAGCUGGCUGCAACUGUUUAUUAAAAACACAGCACUGUGCAAACACGAAAGUGGACGUAUACGGUGUGACGCCUGCCCGGUGCCGGAAGGUUAAUUGAUGGGGUCAGCGCAAGCGAAGCUCUUGAUCGAAGCCCCGGUAAACGGCGGCCGUAACUAUAACGGUCCUAAGGUAGCGAAAUUCCUUGUCGGGUAAGUUCCGACCUGCACGAAUGGCGUAAUGAUGGCCAGGCUGUCUCCACCCGAGACUCAGUGAAAUUGAACUCGCUGUGAAGAUGCAGUGUACCCGCGGCAAGACGGAAAGACCCCGUGAACCUUUACUAUAGCUUGACACUGAACAUUGAGCCUUGAUGUGUAGGAUAGGUGGGAGGCUUUGAAGUGUGGACGCCAGUCUGCAUGGAGCCGACCUUGAAAUACCACCCUUUAAUGUUUGAUGUUCUAACGU